rnacentral:rRNA from 1 species
UACGGGGGGAGCAAGCGUUGUUCGGAUUUACUGGGCGUAAAGGGCGCGUAGGCGGCCACCGCAAGUCAGUUGUGAAAGCUCUGGGCUUAACCCAGAAAGGUCAACUGAUACUGCGGGGCUAGAGUGCAGAAGGGGCAACUGGAAUUCUCGGUGUAGCGGUGAAAUGCGUAGAUAUCGAGAGGAACACCCGCGGCGAAGGCGGGUUGCUGGGCUGACACUGACGCUGAAGUGCGAAAGCUAGGGGAGCGAACGGG